AUGGAUGAGGAAUAUUGCUAUAUAAACCACAGCAACAUUGUGUUUUUGAGAUGUAUCAGGAUGAUACUACAUAUCGAUUGGGGAGACUGGACAAAGACUCACAACAGUCUGCGGAUCACAAGACCCACCUGUGAAGCAGAGGCUCUCUGGUUUGAUUGCAUAAUGGAAAAGACACAGUUUUACAAGCUGAAACCAAAUCACGAGGAUAGAGAUAGCUUGCAAAAUUGCAGGGAGGGAAAGUGGUGGGGUAGGGAAGGAGACCCUAGGGAGAAUGGGGACAAACAGAUGACCUGAAGUAGAGGAUAAGAUGAGGAGGCUUCCAAACUGUGUCAAGGGCACCAAAAUGGGGGGGAAGCAGGAGGGAAUGCAAAUUGUCAACUAUUCCACAAUUUAAUGAACAGUGUACUAAUAUGUGUACUAUUUCUACUCUGUCACCAACUGAAUUCAAGGCCAAGGUCUCAGAGACAGAAUGCUGGAAUAUAAUUCUAGAACUGUGCCAAUAAACAAUAAAUCAAAGUCCA
rnacentral:lncRNA from 1 species